AACGAACGCUGGCGGCAGGCUUAACACAUGCAAGUCGAACGCUCGUAGCAAUACGGGAGUGGCGGACGGGUGAGUAACGCGUGGGAACGUGCCCUGAGGUACGGAAUAACUGAGGGAAACUUCAGCUAAUACCGUAUGAGCCCCGAGAGGGGGAAAGAUUUAUCGCCUUGGGAGCGGCCCGCGUCGGAUUAGCUAGUUGGUGGGGUAACGGCCUACCAAGGCUUCGAUCCGUAGCUGGUCUGAGAGGACGAUCAGCCACACUGGGACUGAGACACGGCCCAGACUCCUACGGGAGGCAGCAGUGGGGGAAUCUUGCGCAAUGGGGGCAACCCUGACGCAGCCAUGCCGCGUGAACGAUGAAGGCCUUAGGGUUGUAAAGUUCUUUUACUCGUGACGAUGAUGACGGUAACGGGGGAAGUAAAGACUCCGGCUAAACUUCGUGCCAGCAGCCGCGGGUUAAA
rnacentral:rRNA from 1 species